AUACGUAGGGGGCGAGCGUUGUCCGGAAUGAUUGGGCGUAAAGGGCGCGUAGGCGGCGCGGUAAGUCUGGAGUGAAAGUCCUGCUUUCAAGGUGGGAAUUGCUUUGGAUACUGCCGCGCUUGAGUGCAGGAGAGGUUAUCGGAAUUCCCGGUGUAGCGGUGAAAUGCGUAGAGAUCGGGAGGAACACCAGUGGCGAAGGCGGGUAACUGGACUGCAACUGACUCUGAGGCGCGAAAGUGUUGGGAGCAACCAGGAUUAGUUACCCUGGUAGUCCACACUGUAAACGAUGAAUGCUAGGUGUAAGAGGUAUCGACCCCUUUUGUGCCGGAGGCCACACAAUAAGCAUUCCGCCUGGGGAGUACGGUCGCAAGGUUGAAACUCAAAUGAAUUGGCGGGG
rnacentral:rRNA from 1 species